UAGUGUAAGUCCAUUGAUUGGCAUCUGGUUUCCAUCUUUGUUUUGUGGAGGUGGACAUAAGACCAUUGAUUGGCACUCCAUUUCCUAUUUUAUUUUGUCUUGUGAGGAGUCAGAUGUAAGACCAUUCAUUGGCUAUCUGUUUCCUGUGAUCAUUUUGUGGAGUCAGGUAUAAGACCAUUGAUUGGCAACUUGUUUCCUUUUCUGUUUUCUUUUGUGGAGUUG
rnacentral:lncRNA from 1 species